CAGUGAACAUUUAAUGAUUGUCACAUAUCUGCCCUCACUCUUUAAAAUUACAGUUGCCUCACCCCAUCCCUCACAAAUGCCAUUGCAAAAUGUACUUGAGUGAAUAAAGUAAUAAAAGCAAGUAAAAAUGCAAUUACCUCUGCUGAACUUCCACAUUGUUCAUGACUUCAAGAUUUUCUAAUUUACAGGCCAUGCAGCAAGACAUGUAAUUAAAAAAAAACAAGAAAACAAUUAGUGAUAUUUUUCAGAAAUAAAUAGUACAACCUAUAGCUCAUAUGUUGUUAGUUUUUGGUUAUGAAAAAAUCUUACUAGUGACAGUUUUUAUUUUAAAUAUGUUGUCACGAGUCUUCAGUCUCCAGUUGAAUUCCCAACUGUAUUUUUUGAGACAGUAAUCCCUUUUAGUUGUGUGGCCUCUGUGGCGAAGGAACCUGUUCUGACUGAAUGGCCAAUAAUGGUUUCUCAGAGUCAGAAUUCAGUUACUUAAUGGUUUCUUUAAAGCCUUGCAAACCUAGUUUAUUAGUAAACUGUGAUAUAGAUAGACAGGACUUUUAGUGUCUGGUUAGAUACUUGUGGAACCAUGGUCUGGAGUUGGUGACUAAGUUUUGGAAGUAUCCAGGAUAGAAAAGAUCUCAACUGUAGUCAACGUGGAGUGGAGGAGUCCACAGGAAUGGCAAUAUGUUGUGGAGCAUCAUGGGUAAGGAGCCUUUCUCAGUCCCCAGAGCAAACAGAAUGGGUUCUUUUCCUCAAUUAUUCCCCAUCUCAGUGAAUGAAUCAAUGCCAUUGAAACAGUGUUUAUAGUGAGUUAAGUUAGGAAGUCAGAAAUAAACAUGUGCUAUUUAUUAGCUAAUUGUCUAAGUUCACCACUCCCAGCAAAGGGAUUGAGUUUCUAUGAUGCCAGGAGACAAAAUGGCAGAUGUGGCUAAUUAAAGCCUUAAAAAACAAAACAUCUUCAUCUUUACAAGUACCUUUCUUAUCUGAUAUUUUGACCUCAGCACUAAUACUCAUUUUAACAUUUGAAGUUAAUGUUUGUGUAUACUCAUUGCUGUGACUUAUUGGACUUAUUGUUAUAUCUUGGCAUCUCUGAACAUUUCAGCAAGCGAUUCAC